CAAGCUUCUGGCAUUAUGCGCUUGUGUGGUACCAGCAGAUUCCCCAGAGAACCUUGCAAAGAUCACAACAGAAUGAAGGCUCGAAUGGACAUCCAGGAAUGAAGAAAGGGGUAGAAGACAUCUGACAGCUUUCAAGAAAAUGACAGCUUCUUUGGCAUAUAUUUUCAGGUCUUCAACACCUUCUGAAUAUAGUAUCAAAAACAGAGAAGAUGCCAUGAAAGUCUUAC